AUGUUGUUUGAAUGCAAAUUGGCAAUGGACAUGUGGAAGCUACUCGGUGUUGAGCUUGUUAUCAAAAAGGCACUAAAAAUUGACAAGGCGGGUGAGCUUGUGUUGGCACAUCUUUUGUGCCUUCCAGAACAACAAAUCCAGGUGUUGGGCUUGCAAAAGUUCAGAGAAACGAUGGCAACGAUGGCUUGGUAUUUGUGCUAUGAAAGGUGA
rnacentral:rRNA from 1 species